rnacentral:pre_miRNA from 1 species
GUUUCAUUUGGAGUUCCCUCAAAGCACUUCGGAUACUACAAGAGUCCCUUAUUUGUUAAGGGUACCGAUAGUCUCACUGAAGAGUUUGGGGGAACUCUAAGCGUCAU